GAUGAACGCUGGCGGCGUGCCUAAUACAUGCAAGUCGAGCGAACAGACGAGGAGCUUUCUCCUCUUACUUUAGCGGCGGACGGGGGAGUAACACGUGGAUAACCUACCUUUAAGACUGGGAUAACUUCGUGAAACCGGAGCUAAUACCGGAUUAUAUUUUGAACCGCAUGGUUCAAUAGUUAAAGACGGUUUUGCUGUCACUUUUAGAUGGAUCCGCUCCGCAUUAGCUAGUUGGUAAGGUAACGGCUUACCAAGGCAACGAUGCGUAGCCGACCUGAGAGGGUGAUCGGCCACACUGGAACUGAGACACGGUCCAGACUCCUACGGGAGGCAGCAGUAGGGAAUCUUGCGCAAUGGGCGAAAGCUUGACGGAGCAACGCCGCGUGAGUGAUGAAGGUCUUCGGAUCGUAAAACUCUGUUAUUAGGGAAGAACAAAUGUGUAAGUAAAUAUGCACGUAUUGACGGUACCUAAUCAGAAAGCCACGGCUAACUACGUG
rnacentral:rRNA from 1 species